AUGGCAUAUCUCCUUCGCAAUCUGUCCAAGGAGGUGCUUGUUCAAGUGGCUUCGCUUGAAUCAUCACAUCCGAUCUGGACUGCAUUAGCAAAUAUGUUCUCUGCAGUCUCCUUGUCUCACGUGAACAACAUCAGAUCUGCCCUCACCAACCAGAAAGGAUCUCAAUCCACCUCCACCUACUUCGGGCAGAUGCGCGCCCUCUCUGACGAGCUUGCGGCGGUGGGCAAACCACUCGGGGAGGAAGAGCUCAUCUCCUUCAUCGUAGCCGGGCUUGAUAUGGAAUAUCAACCGAUCAUCUCUGCACUCGACGUCCGCACCGAGCCCAUCACCAUCGACGCGCUCUUCUCGAUGGUAGCAAACUUCGAUUAGCGCAUUGAGAUGUUCAAUGGCACUGGUGGCUUCAAGUCAUCGGCAAACGCGGCCUCCAGAGGUCGCUUGGGCGGUGGCAAAGGCGGCUACCGAAACCAGAAGAACGGCGGUCACGGCGGCGGCUACCCUGGCGGUGGCGGUCAAAACCCUAGCAGCAGCUACCCUGGUGCGGGUGGCGGCGCCUACAACCAUGGUGGCAGCGUCUACAACAACCACGGCAACAACGGUGGUCAAGGUGGUGGCCAUCGUGGCGGCGGCGGGGGCUACUACAGCAACAACGGCCCCCUCGCCACUACUACAACAACAAUUAAGGCGUUCGCUUCACGGGGUACGAGGAGUAUGAAAACAAAUGCCAAAUCUGUAAGAAAACUAACCAUAUUGCGAAAGAGUGCAAGUGGCGUUAUGCAGAGGACAAUUGUCGAAAGAGGCGUGUUGCAGCUGCGGCAGAUGCCUCAUACAGAGUUGACUCCAACUGGUAUCUUGACUCUGGCUCGAAUGAGAACAUCACCUCUGAACUUGAGAAGAUGA
rnacentral:rRNA from 1 species